rnacentral:rRNA from 1 species
AGAGUUUGAUCCUGGCUCAGGAUGAACGCUAGCGGCGGGCUUAAUACAUGCAAGUCAAGGGGUAGCAAUACACCGGCGUACGGGUGCGUAACGCGUAUGGAACCUGCCCUUAUCUGGGGGAUAACUCGGGGAAACUCGAGCUAAUACCGCAUAAGAUAGUAGAAUGGCAUCAUUCAGCUAUUAAAGAUUUAUUGGAUAAGGAUGGCCAUGCGUAAGAUUAGAUAGUUGGCGAGGUAACGGCUCACCAAGUCUACGAUCUUUAGGGGCUCUGAGAGGAGAAUCCCCCACACUGGCACUGAGAUACGGGCCAGACUCCUACGGGAGGCAGCAGUAGGGAAUAUUGGGCAAUGGGCGGAAGCCUGACCCAGCCACGCCGCGUGCAGGAAGACGGCCCUCUGGGUUGUAAACUGCUUUUAACUGGGAAGAAAAGAGGCCUUGCGAGGCAAGUUGACGGUACCAGUUGAAUAAGCCACGGCUAACUACGUGCCAGCAGCCGCGGUAAUACGUAGGUGGCGAGCGUUAUCCGGAUUUAUUGNGUUUAAAGGGAGCGUAGGCGGCUGAUUAAGUCAGCGGUGAAAGGUAGCAG